CCUGCACAAGCUCUCUCUCUUUUUCUCUUCACCUGCUGCCAUCCAUGCAAGACAUGACUUGCUCCUCCUUGACUUCCACCAUGAUUGUGAGGCCUCCCCAGCCACGUGGAACUACAAGUCCAUUAAACCCUUUUCCUGUGUAAAUUAGCCAGUCUCAGAACUAGGACUGAUAUGAAAGGAAGAUCAGAAAUUUGGUUUUGGAAUUACUGAGAUGUCAAGGAAGAGACGAGAAUGGGCAGUGGGAUAUUUGAGUCUGGAAUGCUGGAAUUCCUGAAAGACAGGAAUUUAGGAGUCACCAGCAGAAAGAAGAUAGAACCAGAAGACUUAAUGGGAUCACCUCGGGAAUGAGGGAAGAUAGAGAAAAGCCUAUUUUGAGUCAGUUUUAAAGAGAACAAGAACUGGAUUGAGCAAGUGUGGCCUUGCCAUUGUUCCAAAUGCAUGGAGCACCCUUUCUGCAGAAAGCAAAGAUUGCCUUGCUGAGAGGUCCUUUGUCUCCGUGCUGACUUUUCUUCGUGGCACCGAUUAUCUAUUUCUAACAGAGAGUCAUGGGCAUUUGGACAAAGAAAAUAAAAGGAUUGUGCAUUUCACAUCAAAUAUACAUACAAGAAUAUGCUUGCUUUGACUUUCUGAAUCUCUGCACAGUCAGAAAUCUGGCAGAAUAAUCACUGAAGUUCAAAUUAGAGCCCCAGAUGGAAACACAAACAGGGGCCACCACUGUGCCUUUUUCAUGCUUGGAAGCUCAGUUCUGGAUGGAAAUGUGUUUUGAGUUAAAAUGUAAUCAUUUCCAAUUCCUUCUGAUCACUGGAUCAUAUUUGAAAGAAACAGCCCAAGGACUACGAUUGCUUUUAAUUACCACUGAAUGUUGAUUGAAAUGAUCAUUUCCUUCCUAUCCGUUUGUAUUUUUAUAGAACAAACAAGAAUAAAAUAAAAAUAUGGCC
rnacentral:lncRNA from 1 species